GCCUGGGUGGCUCAGUCGGUUGAGUGUCUGAUUUCGGCUCAGGUCAUGAUCUCACGGGCUGUGAGUUCGAGCCCCGCAUUGGGCU
rfam:Felis catus isolate Cinnamon breed Abyssinian chromosome D1, whole genome shotgun sequence.